CGAAACAUAUUGUUUACAAAAAUAAUUUUGAUAAAAAAAUAAAAAUUAAAUUCGGUUAUAUAAGGCAAUACUGUGACGAUAGCCAAUAAUAGGUAUGAUAUAUGGCGAACGAUGGAAAUGAAUGCAAACAGAAUUUACUGUACUAUAUUGGAGACAAAGCUGAACAAAAUUGGGCAAAUGAAUAAUCCUCAACAUCGACCUGGUUCAAAUUGGACAGGAAACGGGUCAACUUCAACUGUUUCAAUUAAGCUGCAUAAUAUGAAAACAUACUCGUUCUAUCCUAUAAUGACUUCUAUCUGGGAUUUGGCUCAGCGAAUGACGAAAAAACUGUACUCCACCUCAAGAGUAGAUUUAGAAUCUUUGGAGCCCCUUUUCUAACCUAUUUGACGGAUCUGUCAUCCUGCAAAAUUAGGAACUAGACCAAGUUUAAAGACUUGUCAGGUUGGUUUACCUUCACUUGAAUGGAAGAAUCGUGCCUUUUGGCGUUGUUCGUACGUCGAUCUCUUGUCUGUGUUUGAACAACGUUAAUCCGUGAUAUUUGAAUAUCACGGAUUAAAUAAAUUAUCCGUGAUAUAUACUCAAAUAAAUUUGAUAUUUGAGCCCAAACACGCCAACAGCACUUCUUUAAUUUGCUAGUUUGGCUGUUGCAAAUGGGAUACUAACAUUUGACAAACGAAUAUCAGGGUGCAGGAUGUCUCUAUAUCCAGGUACCCAUCCGAUCUAGACACUGAAAUCAAUAUACUGGAAAAACGCUGUUCAAAAAAUAUUUUCUCCUAUAUCUGUUGCUUGGCAAAAUCUUGGAUACAUCAAUACUACUAUGUAAACAUUUUGCAUCUUAUCGUAACAAAGAACUAAUCUUUUCUUGAG